rnacentral:rRNA from 1 species
UACGAACUGUGCAAACGUUAUUCGGAUUCACUGGGCUUAAAGGGUGCGUAGGCGGCCUGACAAGUCUGAUGUGAAAUCCCCUGGGCUCAACCCAGGGCCUGCAUCGGAAACUGUCGGGCUUGAGUAUGGGAGAGGUGAGUGGAAUUUCCGGUGUAGCGGUGAAAUGCGUAGAUAUCGGAAGGAACACCUGUGGCGAAAGCGGCUCACUGGACCAUUACUGACGCUGAGGCACGAAAGCUAGGGGAGCAAACAGG